rnacentral:rRNA from 1 species
UGCCAUCAGCCGCGGUAAUACGGAAGGUCCUAUCGUGGUUCGUAAUUACUGGGCGUAAAGCGCAUGUAGGCGGAACAGAAAGUUAGAAGUGAAAUCCCUGGGCUCAACCUAGGAAUUGCUUUUAAAACUUCUGUUCUGGAAUUCAGGAGAGGAAAAUGGAAUUUCCAGUGUAGAGGUGAAAUUCGUAGAUAUUGGAAGGAACACCGGUGGCGAAGGCGAUUUUCUGGACUGAUAUUGACGCUGAGAUGCGAAGGCAUGGGUAGCGAAGAGGAUUAGAUA